rnacentral:tRNA from 3 species
GCCCAGAUGGCGGAAUUGGUAGACGCGCACGGUUCAGGUCCGUGUGCCGCAAGGCGUGGAGGUUCGAGUCCUCUUCUGCACCA